GUUACAGUAGUAAAAUAAAAGAGGAGACCUGUUUUGGUGCUUUUUUGAGGCUAUGGAAUUUCAAGCUUCAUUCAGGUUAGAAGAGGAUGAGUGAAGGGAGGCACUGGUGCUCCAUUGCUGAUGGGUUACAUGGUUCUGAAUCUAAUCAUUGCACAGCGUGGACACCAGAGGCACUGGCAUCUAACUCCACUGGCAUCUAACUCCACUGGCAUCUAACUCCACUGGCAUCUAACUCUGCCGGGGUUGACUUCUGUUCUCGGGGGAAAACAGAGAGAUACAGAGUUUGCGUCCUGAACGGCUCACUGUUCCUGAUGUAGUGUCCUGCUUCUGACCUGGGCCCAGUGUGAUCCUCACCAAGGGGAGAGGGUGCCAUUAGGAACCUCGCCAGAGUGGAGGAGAGACGGGCCCUGACGGUGGCUGGGUGCCCUCUGACACUAUCGGCUCAUGAAUCCCUGUCAACAGCCAGCAGCC
ensembl:lncRNA